rnacentral:rRNA from 1 species
UACGAAGGGGGCUAGCGUUGCUCGGAAUCACUGGGCGUAAAGCGCACGUAGGCGGAUUGCUAAGUCAGGGGUGAAAUCCUGGAGCUCAACUCCAGAACUGCCUUUGAUACUGGCGAUCUUCGAGUCCGGGAGAGGUGAGUGGAACUGCGAGUGUAGAGGUGAAAUUCGUAGAUAUUCGCAAGAACACCAGUGGCGAAGGCGGCUCACUGGCCCGGUACUGACGCUGAGGUGCGAAAGCGUGGGGAGCAAACAGG